AAUAGAAAGAUCCAGACAAAAUGAAAAAAUAGAAUGAUCCAAAUGUUUUAAUAGUAAACGGUUCUUACCCUUCAUCUGUAUUGAAUUC